UACAGAGGUCUCAAGCGUUGUUCGGAUUCAUUGGGCGUAAAGGGUGCGUAGGCGGCGCGGUAAGUCGGGUGUGAAAUCUCGGAGCUUAACUCCGAAACUGCAUUCGAUACUGCGGUGCUUGAGGACUGGAGAGGAGACUGGAAUUUACGGUGUAGCAGUGAAAUGCGUAGAGAUCGUAAGGAAGACCAGUGGCGAAGGCGGGUCGUCUGGACAGUUCCUGACACUGAGGCACGAAGGCCAGGGGAGCAAACGGG
rnacentral:rRNA from 1 species